rnacentral:rRNA from 1 species
CAGUCGCGCGAGAAGUUCCGCAGGAAUGAGUAGAGCGGCAAACGGGUGAGUAACACGUAAGUAACCUCCCUCUAAAUCUGGAAUAACCCUGCCAACGCGGGGCUAAUACCUGAUACGGUCGAUGUUUCACAUGAACUGUCGACCAAAGGCGACCUCUGUUUACAAGUUGUCGUUUAGAGAUGGACUUGCGCACUAUUAGCUAGUUGGUGAGGUAACGGCCCACCAAGGCUUUGAUGGUUAGCCGGCCUGAGAGGGUGUACGGCCACAUUGGGACUGAGAUACGGCCCAGACUCCUACGGGAGGCAGCAGUAGGGAAUUUUGCGCAAUGGACGAAAGUCUGACGCAGCAACGCCGCGUGAGUGAUGAAGGUCUUCGGAUUGUAAAGCUCUGUUGAGUGGGAAGAAAAUUUUCAGGAAUAAUACCCUGAAAACUGACGGUACCAUUCGAGGAAGCACCGGCUAAC